UCCGGUUUGUCACCGGCAGUCUCAUUAGAGUGCCCUUUCGUAGCAACUAAUGACAAGGGUUGCGCUCGUUGCGGGACUUAACCCAACAUCUCACGACACGAGCUGACGACAGCCAUGCAGCACCUGUGUAACGGCUCUCUUUCGAGCACCCUCAGAUCUCUCCAAGGUUCCGUCCAUGUCAAGGGUAGGUAAGGUUUUUCGCGUUGCAUCGAAUUAAUCCACAUCAUCCACCGCUUGUGCGGGUCCCCGUCAAUUCCCUUGAGUUUUAACCUUGCGGCCGUAGUCCCCAGGCGGGGCACUUAAUGCGUUAGCUGCGGCACCGCAGGGGUCAAUACCCGCGACACCUAGUGCCCAUCGUUUACAGCGUGGACUAC
rnacentral:misc_RNA from 1 species